UAUGGAAAAUGAAGGAAGUUCUUUGGUUAACCUAAGCAAUAGAGAAACCACAACUCUAAUAUCCCAAAACUACAUAUCAAGAAGUAGCCCUUCUCCACAGUCCACUAGGAGUACGCCAGAUCUUUUCAUUUAUGUGAAGAGAAUAGAACUCGAAUAUAUGUAUAUGUUCUUCAUAGGAGUCAUUGAAGGCAGCUCAGGACCAGCAAUCUGUUAUGCUUGGCGAGAUUGGUGCGUCCCAACAAAAUACCUUCACCGUUGACGGACAAGAAAGGUUACAGAGAUAUGGAAGAAUGAUGAAGCAGUUUUCGAGUUUUUGAAGAGGCGUUUAUCAAUCAUUGAGGGGCAAUAUGUUCGGCAUAGCGUCAUGAAUAUAAUGAAAUAUUUGAACGACCAAAGUUGCCAUGAAGUUGAACUGGGCUGGACGAGAAAAAAAGAAAGCCAUUCAAAACUAAGAAUAUGUGGUAUGUUUUGGUUAAUAUGGCAUUAUUCAUCACCUAAUUGAAAUUACACACUUUAGAUACAGAGGCAGCGAUGUAUGCUUAUUCGGAGAUGAGUCGUUCUGACCUAACUGAAGGAAUCAUAAACAAGGCAGUGAAGGACUGGUUGAAACUGACAAAACAGCGUUUUGAAUAUAAAAACUAAAUUUUGAUCGCCAUCAAACUGGAAGGUUCAGAUAAAUUUCAAUCCAUUUAUGAAAUCUUCCCAUUCAUUCAUCAUUUUUCCCAAAACCAUAUUUACCUAGUUUUUAUUUAAAAGAACGGUUGAAAACUUCUACUGAAUCUUUCAGUUCCUCAUUCAUUUUUUAAUUCAUGUUAUGAUUUAUAUAGACAAGUUGAAACAAAUAAAAGUUUUACUUUCUGUUCA